UACGGAGGGUGCGAGCGUUGUCCGGAAUCACUGGGCGUAAAGGGCGCGUAGGCGGCAUGCCAAGCGUGUGGUGAAAGCCCGGGGCUCAACCCCGGGUCGGCCGUGCGGACUGGCGUGCUCGAGCACUGUAGGGGCGGGUGGAAUUCCGGGUGUAGCGGUGAAAUGCGCAGAUAUCAGGAAGAACACCCGUGGCGAAGGCGGCUCUCUGGGACGGUACUGACGCUGAGACGCGAAAGCGUGGGGAGCGAACAGG
rnacentral:rRNA from 1 species